UAAGACGGAGGGUGCUAGCGUUGUUCGGAUUUACUGGGCGUAAAGGGCGCGUAGGCGGCCUUCUCAGUCGGGUGUGAAAGCCCGGGGCUCAACCCCGGAACGGCACCCGAGACGGGUUGGCUGGAGACCGGGAGAGGAGGGUGGAAUAGCCAGUGUAGAGGUGAAAUUCGUAGAUAUUGGCUGGAACACCGGUGGCGAAAGCGGCUCUCUGGCCCGGUUCUGACGCUGAGGCGCGAAAGCGUGGGGAGCAAACAGGAUUAGAUACCCUGGUAGUCCACGCCGUAAACGAUGGGUACUAGGUGCCUGGGGGAGCGACCCUCUGGGUGCCGGCGCUAACGCAGGAAGUACCCCGCCUGGGGAGUACGACCGCAAGGUUG
rnacentral:rRNA from 1 species